UACGGAGGAUCCGAGCGUUAUCCGGAUUUAUUGGGUUUAAAGGGAGCGUAGAUGGAUGUUUAAGUCAGUUGUGAAAGUUUGCGGCUCAACCGUAAAAUUGCAGUUGAUACUGGAUAUCUUGAGUGCAGUUGAGGCAGGCGGAAUUCGUGGUGUAGCGGUGAAAUGCUUAGAUAUCACGAAGAACUCCGAUUGCGAAGGCAGCCUGCUAAGCUGCAACUGACAUUGAGGCUCGAAAGUGUGGGUAUCAAAC
rnacentral:rRNA from 1 species